rnacentral:misc_RNA from 1 species
UGGUUCUGGCAUNGAUGAAGAACGCAGCGAAAUGCGAUAAGUAAUGUGAAUUGCAGAAUUCAGUGAAUCAUCGAAUCUUUGAACGCAUAUUGCGCCCGCUAGAAUUCUAGCGGGCAUGCCUGUUCGAGCGUCAUUUCACCCCUCAAGCUCUCUGUAGGCUUGUUGUUGAGGCACCUGUGGCACAGCGCCUAUGGGCCUUGAAAAUCAGUGGCGAGCCCGCCGGGUUUUUGAGCGCAGUAACUUAACCUCGCUCGGGAAGCCUGGAGGGUUUUCAGCCGUUAAACACCCACUGUAUUUGAAGUUUGACCUCGGAUCAGGUAGGAAUACCCGCUGA